AGUGAACGCUGGCGGUAGGCCUAACACAUGCAAGUCGAACGGCAGCACAGUAAGAGCUUGCUCUUACGGGUGGCGAGUGGCGGACGGGUGAGGAAUACAUCGGAAUCUACUUUUUCGUGGGGGAUAACGUAGGGAAACUUACGCUAAUACCGCAUACGACCUACGGGUGAAAGCAGGGGAUCUUCGGACCUUUCGCGAUUGAAUGAGCCGAUGUCGGAUUAGCUAGUUGGCGGGGUAAAGGCCCACCAAGGCGACGAUCCGUAGCUGGUCUGAGAGGAUGAUCAGCCACACUGGAACUGAGACACGGUCCAGACUCCUACGGGAGGCAGCAGUGGGGAAUAUUGGACAAUGGGCGAAAGCCUGAUCCAGCCAUACCGCGUGGGUGAAGAAGGCCUUCGGGUUGUAAAGCCCUUUUGUUGGGAAAGAAAAGCAGCAGGUUAAUACCCCGCUGUUAUGACGGUACCCAAAGAAUAAGCACCGGCUAACUUCGUG
rnacentral:rRNA from 1 species